GGGUUGAAAAAUGUUGGGGCGACAUAUCAGAGGCUCAUCAACAAAGUCUUCAUCGAUUUGAUAGGGAAGAACAUCGAGGCCUAUGUGGAUGACAUGGUUGUAAAGAGUAAGAAGGUAGAGCAACACAUAUCCGACCUGGAGGAGGUGUUCGUCACCCUACGAAAAUGUCCGAUGAAGCUCAACCCAGAAAAAUGUGUAUUCGAUGUAGCUUCAGGAAAAUUUUGGGCUUCAUGAUCACUCAUCGGGGGAUAGAAGCUAACCCUGAUAAGAUCCAGGCCUUGGCAACAAUGGAAUUGCCUAGAACUAAGAAAAAGUGCAAAAAUUGACAGGGAGGGUAGCAGCCCUAAACAGGUUUAUGUCUCGAGCAGAAGACAGGUGCUUCCCUUUCUUCAAAGUUUUUUGAGGCAGCCAAUCUAUUGAAUGGAAUGAGGAGUGUGAAAAGGCUUUUCAGGAGCUCAAACAGACAUUGGCGUCUCCUUCUAUCCUCACUAAACCUGAGCCCGGGAAUACUUUGUUAUUAUACUUAGUCGUGUCUCAAAACGCAGUAAGCAACGUCUUGGUAAAAGAGGUCAAUAGAGCCCAACAACCCAUUUACUAUUUGAGUAAAG
rnacentral:lncRNA from 1 species